AUUGAACGCUGGCGGCAGGCCUAACACAUGCAAGUCGAGCGGAGCGGCGGACGGGUGAGUAAUGCCUAGGAAUCUGCCUGGUAGUGGGGGAUAACGUCCGGAAACGGGCGCUAAUACCGCAUACUAUCAGAUGAGCCUAGGUCGGAUUAGCUAGUUGGUGGGGUAAAGGCCUACCAAGGCGACGAUCCGUAACUGGUCUGAGAGGAUGAUCAGUCACAAGUGAACUGAGACACGGUCCAGAAUCGUAAGGGAGGGAGCAGUGGGGAAUAUUGGACAAUGGGCCAAAGCCUGAUCCAGCCAUGGCGGGGGUGUUAAGAAGGUCUUCGGAGUGUAAAGCACUUUAAGUUGGGAGGCGUUACCAACAGAAUAAGCACCGGCUAACUUCGUGCCAGCAGCCGCGGUAAUAC
rnacentral:rRNA from 1 species